rnacentral:rRNA from 1 species
AGACCCGAAACCCGGUGAUCUAGCCAUGGGCAGGUUGAAGGUUGGGUAACACUAACUGGAGGACCGAACCGACUAAUGUUGAAAAAUUAGCGGAUGACCUGUGGCUGGGGGUGAAAGGCCAAUCAAACCGGGAGAUAGCUGGUUCUCCCCGAAAGCUAUUUAGGUAGCGCCUCGUGAACUCAUCUCCGGGGGUAGAGCACUGUUUCGGCUAGGGGGCCAUCCCGGCUUACCAACCCGAUGCAAACUGCGAAUACCGGAGAAUGUUAUCACGGGAGACACACGGCGGGUGCUAACGUCCGUCGUGAAGAGGGAAACAACCCAGACCGCCAGCUAAGGUCCCAAAGUCAUGGUUAAGUGGGAAACGAUGUGGGAAGGCCCAGACAGCCAGGAUGUUGGCUUAGAAGCAGCCAUCAUUUAAAGAAAGCGUAAUAGCUCACUGGUCGAGUCGGCCUGCGCGGAAGAUGUAACGGGGCUAAACCAUGCACCGAAGCUGCGGCAGCGAACGUAUCACUUAAAGCGAUUCAGCGGGUUACGAUUGACGGAGCGAAGCGACGUCAAAGCGUAUACAAAGUCGAGUCGGUUUAAGGAUACGUUCGUUGGGUAGGGGAGCGUUCUGUAAGCCUGUGAAGGUGGCCUGUGAGGGUUGCUGGAGGUAUCAGAAGUGCGAAUGCUGACAUAAGUAACGAUAAAGCGGGUGAAAAGCCCGCUCGCCGGAAGACCAAGGGUUCCUGUCCAACGUUAAUCGGGGCAGGGUGAGUCGACCCCUAAGGCGAGGCCGAAAGGCGUAGUCGAUGGGAAACGGGUUAAUAUUCCCGUACUUGGUGUUACUGCGAAGGGGGGACGGAGAAGGC